rnacentral:rRNA from 1 species
UAACACGUGGGUAACCUGCCUUAUAGUGGGGGAUAGCCUUUCGAAAGGAAGAUUAAUACCGCAUAAGAUUGUAGUAUCGCAUGAUAUAGCAAUUAAAAGGAGCAAUUCGCUAUAAGAUGGACCCGCGUCGCAUUAGCUAGUUGGUGAGGUAAUGGCUCACCAAGGCGACGAUGCGUAGCCGACCUGAGAGGGUGAACGGCCACAUUGGGACUGAGACACGGCCCAGACUCCUACGGGAGGCAGCAUG